AAGCGAGAGGAAGGCGGCGUUGCUGGCCAUUACAGAGAACAUUGAGAUGGAGCUCUUCUCUUCAGAGGAGUACUGCGUGGUGAUAUCAACUCAGGAAGAGGAGGAAGAAUACAGCUUUUACCAGAGACACCCAGAGCACCGUCUGGUCCCUGACUAUGAGGAACCAGAGAUGCAUUUUCAGACCCAACCCAGGCAGCAGGUCAAGCCCAAAACGGAGCCUCCUGCUAAGGCAGAGACCAAGCACAGCCCCCCUGUCACAGGAUUCAUGGAGGAAAUUCAGAUAGAAAUGGAGGUGUUCCCUCCCCUCAGAGUGUCUGAGAGUGAGCCAGUAGCGAUAAAAUCAGGUGAUCCUUCCGCUACGAUGACCUCAGUACGUCAAUUCAAGUUUUAUUUUGUAAUUUCCUGAUCAGCGACUUGACUCUCCAGCAGGGUGAUGUUGCGCAAACAUGGAGCCUGAAACCAUUUUGAAUGAUGAUUGCUGUAACCACUGAGCUUCCUUGCAUCUCUUAGAAUAUAUAGUUGGGUAAAAUAGGUUGAUCAGGUUUAGUGUAUUGGCCAACACAGAGCUUUGUCGUGCACUAAUCUUGAGCACGUAGACUGAAUCCAAAACAGUGUUAGUUACCCAGUCACUGAAUCAGUCAAUACUAAUCUGUUGCCCAAUCUCUUAUCUGUGAUGAGUUUGCUCUAUCAGUCACUCAAUGUGACGUGUAUUGCAGUUAGGAUGACAGCGGAAACCCAUCAUACUCAGGUCUUGUAUAUGUCACAUGAGCCAGUGAGAUGGACACAAUAUUAAAAGGCCAAAGUAAAAAAGUACAGAUAUAUUCUCUGUCUGUUUACAUGCAUUAGAAAAUGGGCUGCCUUUGCAUGUUUCGAGAAUUUGAUUUAUUGUUGUUGCACCUUUUUUAAAACAGAAGUUGAUUGAUUUGAAUAAACUAUCAAUUACUUUAAAGAUCCCCUCCAGAGAUAUAUUAAGAUAUAUCUGCAAAUAGUCCUCUUGUAACAGUAAUGUGUGUCUGAUAUGUUUUUUUGUUACGUAAUUUCAACAUUAAAAUCCCUAAAAAGUCAUAUACUUCUUCUACCUCAUUAAACAUUUCAGAUUCUAUCAAUAUGCAAAUGUUUUCUCAGGAUGUGCACUUGUGUAGUUUAUACAUUACACUUGUAGAAGUUGCAUACUGGACCACAUAACUUAUUGUGUGGAAGUACACACACAACAAAAUACAAAUCCAAUUUUCAUACUUUGAGAGCCAUAAGAGCUGUAAAAAAUAAAUAAAAUACUUACCUUGAA